rnacentral:rRNA from 1 species
ACAUUGGGACUGAGACACGGCCCAAACUCCUACGGGAGGCUGCAGUAGGGAAUCUUCCACAAUGGGCGAAAGCCUGAUGGAGCAACGCCGCGUGUGUGAUGAAGGCUUUCGGGUCGUAAAGCACUGUUGUAUGGGAAGAAAAGUUAAGGUAGGGAAUGACCUUAGCCUGACGGUACCAUACCAGAAAGGGACGGCUAAAUACGUGCCAGCAGCCGCGGUAAUACGUAUGUCCCGAGCGUUAUCCGGAUUUAUUGGGCGUAAAGCGAGCGCAGACGGUUGGUUAAGUCUGAUGUGAAAGCCCGGAGCUCAACUCCGGAAAGGCAUUGGAAACUGGUUAACUUGAGUGCAGUAGAGGUAAGUGGAACUCCAUGUGUAGCGGUGGAAUGCGUAGAUAUAUGGAAGAACACCAGCGGCGAAGGCGGCUUACUGGACUGUAACUGACGUUGAGGCUCGAAAGUGUGGGUAGCAAACAGGAUUAGAUACCCUGGUAGUCCACACCGUAAACGAUGAACACUAGGUGUUAGGAGGUUUCCGCCUCUUAGUGCCGAAGCUAACGCAUUAAGUGUUCCGCCUGGGGAGUACGACCGCAAGGUUGAAACUCAAAGGAAUUGACGGGGACCCGCACAAGCGGUGGAGCAUGUGGUUUAAUUCGAAGCAACGCGAAGAACCUUACCAGGUCUUGACAUCCUUUGAAGCUUUUAGAAAUAGAAGUGUUCUCUUCGGAGACAAAGUGACAGGUGGUGCAUGGUCGUCGUCAGCUCGUGUCGUGAGAUGUUGGGUUAAGUCCCGCAACGAGCGCAACCCUUAUUGUUAGUUGCCAGCAUUCAGAUGGGCACUCUAGCGAGACUGCCGGUGACAAACCGGAGGAAGGCGGGGACGACGUCAGAUCAUCAUGCCCCUUAUGACCUGGGCUACACACGUGCUACAAUGGCGUAUACAACGAGUUGCCAACCUGCGAAGGUGAGCUAAUCUCUUAAAGUACGUCUCAGUUCGGACUGCAGUCUGCAACUCGACUGCACGAAGUCGGAAUCGCUAGUAAUCGCGGAUCAGCACGCCGCGGUGAAUACGUUCCCGGGUCUUGUACACACCGCCCGUCACACCAUGGAAGUUUGUAAUGCCCAAAGCCGGUGGCCUAACCGUAAGGAGGGAACC